rnacentral:rRNA from 1 species
GCCAGAGAGCUAGCUCAAAUAACAUAGUGAAGAUAACAAUCUCCAUAACUACUCAUAUUAUAAAACUUACUUAAAUCAAAUCAUUUAACCCCCCUAGUAUGGGCGACAAAAAAGGAUAUAAUGACGCUAUAGAUAUAGUACCGCAAGGGAAAGCUGAAAAAGAAAUGAAAUAACCCAUCAAAGCAAAAAAAAGCAGAGAAUACCCCUCGUACCUUUUGCAUCAUGAUUCAGCCAGUAAAAUACAUGCAAAGAGACCUCUAGUUUGUAACCCCGAAACCCGACGAGCUACUUCGAGACAGCUUAUCCAGAGCCAACCCAUCUCUGUGGCAAAAGAGUGGGAAGAUCCCCAAGUAGAGGCAAAAAACCUACCGAGCCGGGUGAUAGCUGGUUGCCCAAAAAAUGAAUAAAAGUUCAGCCCCGUGCAAGCCCAACUCACAACUGUGAAACUACAAAAGACAAAGAGCUGCCCCGCGGGAGUUAGUCAAAGGAGGUACAGCUCCUCUGACAAAGAAUACAACCUUUUAAGGUGAUUAAAGGAUAUAAUAAACCAAGGCCACAGGUCUCAGUGGGCCUGAAAGCAGCCACCCGACCAGAAAGCGUUAAAGCUCAGACCAAAAUAAGCCCAUUAUCACAUUUAAUUCCCCAAGAUCCCCAACACUAUUGGGCCUCUCUAUGCCCCCAUAGAAGAAAUGAUGCUGAAACGAGUAACAAGAAGACCGAACUUCUCCCUGCACAAGUGUAAGCCAGAUUGGACCAACCACUGGCAGUUAACGAACCCAAAAAAAGAGGGCCCUACACCAUGGCCAACUAGGACAAGAAAAGCGUGUUCCCUCAAUCGUUACCCCCACACAGGAGUGCUUCAACAAAGGAAAGACUAAAAGAAAAAAAAGGAACUCGGCAAGCCCAAACCCCGCCUGUUUACCAAAAACAUCGCCUCUUGCCCAUCAUUGUAUAAGAGGUCCCACCUGCCCUGUGACUAAUAGUUUAACGGCCGCGGUAUCCUAACCGUGCGAAGGUAGCGCAAUCAAUUGCCUUUUAAAUGAAGGCCUGUAUGAAUGGUAUAACGAGGGUUUGACUGUCUCUUUUUUCUAGUCAGUUAAACUGAUCUGUCCGUGCAGAAGCGGACAUAAUAAUACAAGACGAGAAGACCCUAUGGAGCUUUAGAUAUUAACCAAUUACAAUAAGCGGCUUAAACUUAAUCGAGUCCUAACACCCGUAAAACUGGCAUAAAAAUCUUAGGUUGGGGCGACCACGGGAGAAAACAAAGCUCCCGAGCAGAAAGGGAUAAACCUGAAACCAAGAGUUACAACUCUAAGUCACAAAAUUUUUGACUGAAAUGAUCCGGCCCAUAGCCGAUUAACGAACCAAGUUACCCUAGGGAUAACAGCGCAAUCCCCUCCCAGAGUCCUUAUCGACAAGGGGGUUUACGACCUCGAUGUUGGAUCAGGACAUCCUAAUGGUGCAGCCGCUAUUAAGGGUUCGUUUGUUCAACGAUUAAAGUCCUACGUGAUCUGAGUUCAGACCGGAGUAAUCCAGGUCGGUUUCUAUCUGUAAAGCAACCACUCCUAGUACGAAAGGACCGGAGCAGUAAGGCCCAUGAUAAAAGCAAGCCUUCCAUCUAACUGCUGAAGACAACUAAAGCAGAUAAAGAUGGGCACCCCUAGGCCCAAGAAAAGGGCCCCUCAAUUCGC